rnacentral:miRNA from 1 species
UGGCAGCUGGCAAGUCAGAAUGCA